rnacentral:rRNA from 1 species
CUGGCGAUGGCUUACACAUGCAAGUCGAGGGGUAACAGAUCUUCGGAUGCUGACGACCGGCGAACGGGUGAGUAACACGUAUGCAACUUACCCAUAACUCGGGAAUAGCCCAAAGAAAUUUGGAUUAAUACCCAAUAAUACAGGCGUACCGCAUGGUAUUCUUCGUUAAAGAAUAAUCGGUUAUGGAUAGGCAUGCGUUCUAUUAGGUAGUUGGUGAGGUAACGGCUCACCAAGCCGACGAUGGAUAGGGGAACUGAGAGGUUGUCCCCCCACACUGGUACUGAGACACGGACCAGACUCCUACGGGAGGCAGCAGUGAGGAAUAUUGGUCAAUGGACGAAAGUCUGAACCAGCCAAAUCGCGUGAAGGAAGAAGGUAUUAUGUAUCGUAAACUUCUUUUGUAAGAGAGUAAAGUGCACUACGUGUAGUGUAUUGCAAGUACCUUACGAAUAAGCAUCGGCUAAUUCCGUGCCAGCAGCCGCGGUAAUACGGAAGAUGCAAGUGUUAUCCGGAUUUAUUGGGUUUAAAGGGUGCGUAGGUGGUCUAAUAAGUCAGUGGUGAAAUCUCUUUGCUUAACAAGGAAAUUGCCAUUGAAACUGUUAGACUUGAGAAUGGACGAGGUAGGCGGAAUUCGUAGUGUAGCGGUGAAAUGCAUAGAUAUUACGAAGAACUCCAAUAGUGUAGACUGCUUACCAGACCAUAUCUGACACUAAGGCACGAAAGUGUGGGUAUCAAACAGGAUUAGAUACCCUGGUAGUCCACACAGUAAACGAUGAAUACUAACUGUUUGCGAUAUACAGCAAGUGGUCGAGCGAAAGCGUUAAGUAUUCCACCUGGGAAGUAUGCCGGCAACGGUGAAACUCAAAGGAAUUGACGGGGGCCCGCACAAGCGGAGGAACAUGUGGUUUAAUUCGAUAAUACGCGAGGAACCUUACCCGGGCUCGAACGAUAUUUGAAUACAUCCGAAAAGAUGUAGCUAGCAUAGCAAAUACCGAGGUGCUGCAUGGUUGUCGUCAGCUCGUGUGUGAGGUGUCGACUUAAGUGUCAUACGAGCGCACCCUUACCGAUAGUACCAUCAGAUAUGCUGGGGACUCUAUGGGACUGCCACCGUAAGGUGUGAGAGNGAGNUGAC